rnacentral:misc_RNA from 1 species
UACUCUCCAGGGCUGUCACGUGGAAACCCCUUUAUCGAUGAGCCCUCCUCACAUCUCCACCCGCGGGCUCUCUGACCAUGUGUCCAUGUCGCACUCAACACCCUUGAUAAAUCAGCGCUGUGAAACACUGCCAGGAAAGGCAUCAUCAGAAGCAAGUGUUUAAACGGACCUCAUCCCUGCCAAGCUGUCUCAUAUACAAAUUACAAGAAAACGCCCCCACCGGUGCCCCCUCGGACCACCUCCAAGCCUCUGAUCUCGGUGACGGCGCAGAGCAGCACCGAAUCCACCCAGGACGCCUACCAGGACAGCCGCGCACAGAGGAUGUCCCCGUGGCCCCAGGACAGCCGCGGCCUCUACAACUCCACGGACAGCCUGGACAGCAACAAGGCCAUGAACCUCGCGCUGGAGACGGCCGCUGCCCAGCGCCACCUGCCAGAGAGCCAGAGCAGCUCUGUG